GUGUCAGCCGCCGCGGUAAUACGGAGGGUGCGAGCGUUAAUCGGAAUUACUGGGCGUAAAGCGCAUGCAGGUGGUUUGUUAAGUCAGAUGUGAAAGCCCGGGGCUCAACCUCGGAACCGCAUUUGAAACUGGUUCACUAGAGUACUGUAGAGGGGGGUAGAAUUUCAGGUGUAGCGGUGAAAUGCGUAGAGAUCUGAAGGAAUACCGGUGGCGAAGGCGGCCCCCUGGACUGAUACUGACACUGAGGUGCGAAAGCGUGGGGAGCAAGCAGGAUUAGAAACCCCCGUAGUCC
rnacentral:rRNA from 1 species